rnacentral:rRNA from 1 species
UACGUAGGGGGCAAGCGUUGUCCGGAAUCAUUGGGCGUAAAGCGCGCGUAGGCGGCCCGGUAAGUCCGUUGUGAAAGUCAAAGGCUCAACCUUUGAAAGCCGGUGGAUACUGUGAGGCUAGAGUACGGAAGAGGCGAGUGGAAUUCCUGGUGUAGCGGUGGAAUGCGCAGAUAUCAGGAGGAACACCAAUAGCGAAGGCAGCUCGCUGGGACGUUACUGACACUGAGGCGCGAAAGCGUGGGGAGCGAACAGG